UACGGGGGGGGCAAGCGUUGUUCGGAAUUACUGGGCGUAAAGGGCUCGUAGGUGGCCAACUAAGUCGGACGUGAAAUCCCUCGGCUUAACCGGGGAACUGCGUCUGAUACUGGAUGGCUUGAGUUCGGGAGAGGGAUGCGGAAUUCCAGGUGUAGCGGUGAAAUGCGUAGAUAUCAGGAGGAAUACCGAUGGCGAAGGCAGGUCUCUGGGCUGACACUGACGCUCAUGCACGAAAGCGUGGGGAGCAAACAGG
rnacentral:rRNA from 1 species